CAGCCAUUAGUCUUGACCAGCAGCAGAUUGCUUCACCUACUCCCACACUGGUUCAGCCGUGCUCUCACCGUAAAGCAAAUGACCUCAGGUCAGUGCAGCCGAGAUCCAGAAACCUUCCUCGAGUUUCAUCUGGAGCCUUCUGCCACACAGAGAGACGGCAGUCAGGCAGUACUGAAUACGCAAGGGAUCAUUACCCUGAAAAGGAGAACAGUGACAUCUUUGACAAUGCUGCACCUGUGAAAGGCUUUUCCAAGAGACACAGUUUCUUGAGGAGCCCACGGAAGUCGGUGAAGCCGUAUUCCAUGCAGACCUUCUCAAAGUCCUUUUUCGGCACCUUGGAGAGGAUUUCAAGCAUUUCCUUCUCAUCAGUCACCUUCUUCGCUUUCUUCUUUGGAGCAGGAGGGCCCCUGUGCAUAGACCCCAUAUAAUUCAGGGUGUAUUUCAAAGUGAUGAAAGCUUCUCUCACCUCUACAGCUUUGGAUGCAACAGGGCUCCUGCCUGUGGAAGCUGUAGGGCCAGACUUCCUAUUGGUAGGAUUCCAAACAAGAAUGGGGCUCCCCGCUUGUGGGAAAAAGGGGCAGGAAAUUAGUCUCCCCUACUGCUGGAAGGAGGGAGGGGAGAAUUCCCCGGCACCGCUGUCAUAGAAUCUGCUGGGAGUUGCCUUCUCCUCUAGUGCUGAGACCAGAGGGCAAAAGCGGGCUGACCUGUGAGUUACUGACUCUGAACAUGGCAGUCCCAAAGCCGGGAGCCAUGAGCAGUUCCCUGCACUGCUUGUACUGUUGUUCUGCUCUGUAAAGUGGCUCUGUAGAAACGGCCUAGUGUCUCUCAGCGCCCACUCAGCUUUUUGAAAUAUAGAAAUAAAAAUAAAGAACUAAUACAUAAAUCCCCCAGAGAUAAAACUCCUCACCUUUUUUUAAGCAAUUUUUUGAAAUCCAAUUUUUCUUGACCUGAAAAAAAAUUAGAAAAUCCCAAAGCAAACAACUGUAUUCAGUCAGCUGAAGCAUAAUAAUAAACAACAACACAAAUAACACCAUGAGGG